GAUGAACGCUGGCGGCGUGCUUAACACAUGCAAGUCGAACGAAGCAUAGGAGUGGAAUUUUUCGGAAGGAAACAACUAUGACUGAGUGGCGGACGGGUGAGUAACGCGUGGGUAACCUGCCUCAUACAGGGGGAUAACAGUUAGAAAUGACUGCUAAUACCGCAUAAGCGCACAAAACCGCAUGGUUUGGUGUGAAAAACUGAGGUGGUAUGAGAUGGACCCGCGUCUGAUUAGCUAGUUGGAGAGGUAACGGCUCACCAAGGCAACGAUCAGUAGCCGACCUGAGAGGGUGACCGGCCACAUUGGGACUGAGACACGGCCCAA
rnacentral:rRNA from 1 species